CAGUCCAGAUUUAGACCUCAGUCUUUCCUAGACAUUCAGACCCAGUUGGCUGCAGCUGCGGUAGAGCACAGAUUCUCUUGUCUUCCUCGUCCUUUUUCGUCCAAUACCUCCGUCUUUCCUUCCCUUCUUCGCUAUACCUGGACAUUUUUAUCUGACAUGGUAGGAGUGGCUGCCAGAUGUCUGAGUUGGACAGCGGGUCGAGGGUUAUAGUCCAGGGUUUCACUGAGGCAGACUUCCUGCUCCUCUUCCCCCAACCAUGGAGCCUCAGGCAGAGGUCCCGUUGUUUGAGAUGGACCAGGAUGAGGAAGAGGAAGCGGAGGUUCUCUCAAAGAAGCGGGAUCAAGAAUGCAGAGACACACAUCCAGACACAGAUCCCGACACGUUCAUAUACAUGAACUUCAUGAAGAAUCACUGCUGCUACGAUGCCAUCCCUACCAGCUCCAAACUGGUCAUUUUUGACACAACACUACAGGUGAAGAAGGCUUUCUUUGCUCUGGUGGCUAACGGUGUGAGGGCAGCGCCACUGUGGGACAACAAGCUCAAGUGUUUUGUGGGUAUGCUGACCAUCACCGACUUCAUCAACAUUCUCCAUCGCUAUUACAAGUCUCCUCUGGUUCAGAUCUACGAGCUGGAAGAACACAAGAUAGAGACAUGGAGAGCAGAGAUUUAUCUACAGUACUCUAUCAACAGACUGAUCAGCAUCACUCCGGACUGCAGUCUGUUUGAAGCCAUCUACUCCCUGUUGAAGAAUAAGAUACACCGGCUGCCGGUCAUCGACCCGGCGUCAGGAAAUGUCCUCCACAUCCUCACUCAUAAACGCAUCCUCAAGUUCCUCCACAUCUUCGGAUCUACGAUUCCUAAACCCAGGUUUCUUCAGAAGCGGAUCAAUGAAGUGGAGAUCGGUACCUUCAAAGAGAUUGCGACAGUCCAGGAAUCGGCCUCGGUCUUUGACGCUCUGAGCAUUUUCGUAGAGAGAAGAGUGUCGGCUCUGCCUGUAGUCAAUAAGCAAGGUAAAGUCGUGGCGCUGUACUCCAGGUUUGAUGUCAUUAACCUCGCAGCCCAGAAAAACUACAACAACCUGAACAUGACGAUGCAGGAGGCCGUUUCCUCCAGAGCCUGCUGCGUGGAGGGAGUCCUCAAGUGUUACCCUUAUGAAACGCUGGAAACCAUCAUCGACCGCAUUGCCAAGGCCGAGGUGCAUCGGUUGGUGUUGGUUGACAGUGAAGAUGUGGUGAGAGGGAUUGUCUCUCUAUCUGACCUUCUACAAGCCCUGGUUCUCUCUCCUGCAGGUAUUGAUGCACUGUACUCCUAACUCCAACCCUUCCUUUCACCUCUUGCUCCUUCUCUCGAUCCAUCCGACUUCAAAUCCUCGAAAGCUUCCUGCUCCUUUUGGCGAUCUAUGCAUCUUCUCCUCCCGUGAGCGCUCAUGUUCCUACUGACCAAACUCUUCAUCGUCAACGUUUCAUCCUCCUGAAGACAUCUACUCUUCCUGUGAAAGAUUCUGAUGUCAAAGUUCCAACACUGUUAAUCUCUUAAAUCUCAUGAUCCUUUCAAGAAUACUUACAAAGAAUAAAUGUCCUUAUUAGACAAACUACACCAUUCAGGGAUUCAUCUGAAACUUCAUCGGGAACCAACGUCCUUACAUUUCUUCUAAACUCUUCAUUUGAAGCAUCAAACAAAAUGUCCCUGGAGCCUGCUCUGAUACAUCCUGCCCCUGAAAAAUAAACAAAAGCCCUCUCGAAACCGUCUGCCCAGCCACAAUCAACAUUGCUUUCACAUCAAAUCAUCCUUAUCCUCUACUACGUUCUACCAAGUCCAACAACGUCUUCAUGCUGCAGUUCCUCCUCUGAAACCACCACGCCACCAGCACCUCUUAGCCAACACAUCCCAGGUAUUUACGAGGGAUCGUGCCGUCAAGACCGAAGAAAACAAGAUGGAGACUGAUCACGUUAAACAAGACUAUGAGGUGGCAAAGUAAAUAAUGUAAAUAAUGUGCCCUUUAGCUAGGCACUUUAUUCACAAGUGACGUUUCCCAGUGGCCACCAAUACAAGACUGUGAUUUUGCUGGGAAGCUACCAGUAUUGAACUAUAUCACAGGUGUGGCUGGAAAACAGCGUCAAACUGAUGAUCCACAUCCAGAGACUUUUAAACUGUCCUCGACUAAAGCAUCAAACAUGAGGUUAUUUUGCAAGUUCUGUUACUUGGAGACUGUACUCCCACAAAAGACGACCCCAUAGGUAAUUGUACAAGCAGCUUAUUAUGACCCAUAUGUAUGUUUAUUGUUGGGCGCUGAUCCACGAGACCGCUGUUCCCGUGUCCCGUGUGAAACCAAAUGUCAACGUUAUUUUAACUGACGUACUUACGUUAAAGGAACAGUGUUGAGUAUUCAGGAGGAUCUAUUAGCAGAACUUAAAUAUAAUAUAAUAAGUAUGUUCUCUUUAGUGUUAACGGAGCGGUUUCUCUUCAAAGAGCCGGUCGCCAUGUUUGUACAGUAGCCCAGAACGGACACACCAAACACUGGCUCUAGUAGUUCUUCUACAGGCUUGGCACACAGUAGAAGUUUAAUUUGGUUGCAAUCUACAACCUCACCGCUAGAUGCCACCAAAUCUUACACACUGCUCCUUUAACCUACUUUACAUACAUGACGUAAGAUAAGUGUGUUACUUAACUUACGUAACAAAUGUACUUAUUUGAACCCAAACCACAAUCUUUUCCUAACCAAACUGCGACCAUUUCCCAACGUUAACCACGUGUUUAAAACUGCGUCCGUUAUGUUUGGGUAAGAGGACGCGUUGAUCUCCUGCCACCGGUACGGGGCGCUAAGUUAGGAAACGCUCCUGUGGGUCGUAUUAGAGGGUUGGAACAAUCUAUGUGGUCGUAUGGGUUGGAGGACUCGUUGAAGGGAAAUUGAGUCGUUGAUGCAACAUGAUAAAAAGUGGUUAUGUUUUAUGGUUUAUGCUUGACUUUCUGGGUCUUAGAAUGAUUACACAUUAGUCAUACAUAUAUUGAAAAUAUUGGAUCUUGGAAUUGUGAUCAUAUUUUUAUAAAUGCACUUAUGCUCCGGUCAUAAUUUUCAUGUAAUUGUGAGCGUGUUGUACUGAUACUUACCUACGAUUGCUGCAGCUAAUGAUACCAUGACAUUGUUAGCAUAUUACCCUAUUAUUAUUAUCCUUUAUUAAUACCCCUCUAUUUCUGUUUUUAAUAUAGUAGAAUCCCCUUUUAUCCCAC